rfam:Cricetulus griseus cell line CHO-K1, whole genome shotgun sequence.
UCUUUCAGUGUUGAAACAAUCUCUAUUGAGCCAAGCUCCAAAGCAAGUUCACUGGAGUUUGUUUCAAUAUUGCAAGAA